CAUGAUAAUUUGGGCGUGUGUUUUUUGUACCAGCAGACUUGCCGUAGUACCUCAGCAGUGAAAAACAGUCCUUUAGCCAAACUGUUGUCUGUUCCACUUUUUGUUCACUUUUUCUUGCUGAGCCUGAGAGAGCACAUGCCUUUUUACAGUGCUUCAACAGUAAACAUCUAAAACGUAUCCGCUGACUCCUGGAUGUUUAUUGUGGACCUGUUAGCUAUCUGCCAAGCUAGAAACCAGCUUCACACCCUAGUGAGGGCAGAAUAGUAAAAAGGCAUCGUCCCAACACGGCUACCUACAGAAAAGUGGAUCUGCGUGGAAACACAGUUUCUUCUGUUUCUUCUAAGCUACAAUGGAUAGUAACGACGACACGCUUGAGACGCGGUCAAUAUGCUCCAACACCUCACGUGCCAGUCAGCGCUCUUCAGCCAGUGCCAUUGCAGCCAGGGCACGGGCAAAAGCAGAGGCUGCACGUGCUCAAGCACUAUUUGCACAAAAAGAGGCAGAUAUGUUAAAAGCACAAGCAUAUAUUGAGGAGGAACAACAAAAAGCAGCAGCUGAGGCUGCCAGGAAGAAAGCAGAGCUGCAAGCCAGUUUGCAUACCUUGAGACUUGAGAGCGCAGCUGCAGCUGCCAUUGCUGAAGCGAAUGUUCUUGAAGCAGCUGUUGAGAACGAAUUUGGGGAGUUAGAUCGAGUUAGCCUGAAAAAUGAAUACGUUGAGCAUAAUCCAAGUCCUGAACCUCACCAAGUCUCAGAGCUACCAGAACUCAUGCCAACUCUGAUGCACCAACUACCAGUCGACAGUGAUGAGAUCAGCAAAUAUGACUUGCCUGUUCAGAGAACAUCCAAAUUGAGUCAAGAUGCCACUCCCUAUUACCCUCGUACUCAAAGCCCCUGCAGGACAGGCCCAUUCAAGCAAGAACAUUCACACAGCUUAAAUCCAUCCAAGGAUACGUACAGACACCAGACACAGUCACAUGAUAUGAGACAAUACAGCAGUAGCUACCAACCGCCUCAGCCUCAUACAGGUGCUGCCAGAACUGACGAGCCCACUUUAUCAUCAACCACAGACCUGGCCAAGUAUCUAAUACGGCGAGAGAUGAUAAGCUCUGGGCUGUUAAGGUUCGACGAUCAGCCAG
ensembl:lncRNA